GUUGACAUCUGUCGUUCCGUUCCGCAUUUCCGCUACUUAUAUAGAGAAACCUGAUUUAUCGGUGCUUGUUUCUUUUCUGUGGUUGUCUGUUUACGUUUAGAAGAGAGAGAAGACAACACAAAAUAAAAAUAUGGCUAUGUGUCUCUCUCCCCCCAGUGUUUCUAUCUAGUAAUAAGUAAUUCGUCAGUGACGUCAGUCAUCAAAUUCAAAACAGAAGUAGAAAGAGAUGGAAUCAUAAUAUUUAUUAUUUUUCUUAGAAUAAGAUGGAUUUGGAUAAGUGCAUUUUGUUUUUGUUUUGAUAAUGAUAGAUUUAGAUUUCUAAUCCUGACUGAUAAUGUUAUCAAUUUGGAUAAAUGAAAAAUUCACCAGUUUACGAAAAUUCUGUACGUAGGUACUUCACUCAAGUAUUUAUGGGAUUUUUGUGUAUACUGCCACUUUGUUAGCAAAUUCUCCCUGAAAUUUUAGUACCUGUAAGAUGACUAUAAAUUGAAUGUGUCCUAAAUUCAAGACCAAAUAAAGAAGAUCUAGCUUUCAUAAACAGAAAGAAAUAUUACUGCAACCAGUAUAAUUCAAUUUUUAAAAUGAGCUCUUUUAACUCUUUAUUUGGAAUUGAUGGAUUGUCAAAUAUUCAGUUGCUACUGGUUCAAGCUACAAGACUGCUCCAAAACGAUGAAAAUGUGGGUGUUUAUGAUCAUGUAAAUCAGAAAACACACAGCAGCGCAACUAGGAGAAGAAGCGGUAUGCAAAGUACGAAUAAUUUCUCCUCACAAUUUUUAUAUCCGAAUCCUUUUAUGAAAGCCAUUGAAAGACCAAUAAGUGUUAGUCCUCCAAGAGCAAUACAACAACCAAUAAAAAUUG